UACGGAGGAUGCAAGCGUUGUCCGGAAUCAUUGGGCGUAAAGAGCGUGUAGGCGGCUCGGUAAGUCCGCUCUGAAAGCCCGGGGCUCAACCCCGGGAGGCGGGCGGAUACUGUCGGGCUAGAGUCCGGAAGAGGCGAGUGGAAUUCCUGGUGUAGCGGUGAAAUGCGCAGAUAUCAGGAGGAACACCAAUGGCGAAGGCAGCUCGCUGGGACGGUACUGACGCUGAGACGCGAAAGCGUGGGGAGCAAACAGG
rnacentral:rRNA from 1 species